rnacentral:lncRNA from 1 species
CCUGGGGACUAGCGGAGACUGCGGAACCCGCCCUGGGCUGGGAGACGGGCAGCUGGGCCGCGCGUGGAUUUCUCUCACCACCCAGCUCCCCUCUCUGUCCCGGGCUCCUCGCUGGUUCCUUUCACCUGGAGGGAGGAGAACGCGCACGCGCGCUCAGGCCAGGAGAGUGUGUCCUAAAAUCCUGCUAGAGCUCUCGGGUUCCACACAUGUAGCUGCUACCUGCCAGGAACUGGCGAGUAUGGCUUGUGUCCCCAGAUCGCAUGGCAACCAACAUUUCCAAGUGGAGGAGGUGAUGAACGCCCUGUCUUGGCCACGGCAGGGGACAGGACACGCGGUCCGUCUGCACCGACUUCUUGAAGUGUGACCUCGGGGACACCAGGGGCACGUGGGCUGGGGAAAACACCGAAUCGGGUUAAAAGCCGGACAACACGACGACCGGGUUGGCGACGCGACGGUCCGGGGAGCACAGUGAACACACACACUCUUCUCGGAGUCUCUUUUCACGGAAAGUCUCCCCCUUCACUUCAUCCCCCGUGGGAAGAGUUGGGUCUUGAACUCUUUGUGAAAUCUUCAAACACAUAAUAAGAAUUAAUCACCAUUAGUUCUCGAUUUUAACAGCUGCCUGCUACCUCGAUCGCCGGCUGCAGCUGCGCACUCCUUUCCCUCUGCUGACAUCAUAAUCCCAUUACAGCUGGGAACUUGCACACAUAAAAUGCAGAUUUAAGCUGAUUUUGAAACAACUUAUACUUGUUAAUUGCUCCAAUCUAUAUCGCAAGCAUAAAAUCCCGGCUUUCAUGUGGCUCCUCCUUGCCAGAGACGGGCGCGUUCUCUUUCUUUCUCGGGGUUAAGAGUGGACCCCAGUGCCCAGCCAUAUGUGGCAGCCUCCAAGUCACCGACGCGCUCGUGGCCCAAAGUCGUCCAGCAGUGGCAUCUGUCCAUCUGCUCCUUGCUCAUCUGUUUCCCCAAAAGGACUCGACUGGCAGCUAAGAAAAUGUCUUGGAACCAGGUGAGGCUGGGAGAGCUCUGCCCCGGCUGCAGCCCCCUCACUGCUCAGGACCGGCUCUCUCUUUUCUCCAUGAGGAGAUUCCAGCACUCGUUUGCUCGGCUUGCUGAGUCAAGUGGGAGAAAUUGACUUCCUGGUUGGGUCUGUGCCCUUGUUCAACAAGACCCUUCCCGGACACGCUCCUGGCCAUCCCUUGUAUUUAGGUCCUGUUUUCCCACAAGCUUGUGCGUGGCCUGCAGCUUGAUCCCUGAGUGUCUUCAGCCUGCGAUGGUGCAGGUUAUUCAAUGUAGUGAAAAGUAA